rnacentral:rRNA from 1 species
UUUUGAUUUGAAAGGCGCUUUCGGGUGUCGCUGAUGGAUGGACCCGCGGUGCAUUAGCUAGUUGGUGAGGUAACGGCUCACCAAGGCCACGAUGCAUAGCCGACCUGAGAGGGUGAUCGGCCACAUUGGGACUGAGACACGGCCCAAACUCCUACGGGAGGCAGCAGUAGGGAAUCUUCGGCAAUGGACGAAAGUCUGACCGAGCAACGCCGCGUGAGUGAAGAAGGUUUUCGGAUCGUAAAACUCUGUUGUUAGAGAAGAACAAGGAUGAGAGUAACUGUUCAUCCCUUGACGGUAUCUAACCAGAAAGCCACGGCUAACUACGUGCCAGCAGCCGCGGUAAUACGUAGGUGGCAAGCGUUGUCCGGAUUUAUUGGGCGUAAAGCGAGCGCAGGCGGUUUCUUAAGUCUGAUGUGAAAGCCCCCGGCUCAACCGGGGAGGGUCAUUGGAAACUGGGAGACUUGAGUGCAGAAGAGGAGAGUGGAAUUCCAUGUGUAGCGGUGAAAUGCGUAGAUAUAUGGAGGAACACCAGUGGCGAAGGCGGCUCUCUGGUCUGUAACUGACGCUGAGGCUCGAAAGCGUGGGGAGCAAACAGGAUUAGAUACCCUGGUAGUCCACGCCGUAAACGAUGAGUGCUAAGUGUUGGAGGGUUUCCGCCCUUCAGUGCUGCAGCUAACGCAUUAAGCACUCCGCCUGGGGAGUAC